rnacentral:rRNA from 1 species
GAUGAACGCUAGCGGGAGGCUUAACACAUGCAAGUCGAGGGGCAUCACGGGUAGCAAUACCUGGUGGCGACCGGCGCAAGGGUGCGUAACGCGUGAGCAACAUGCCCUAUACAGGGGGAUAAUCUAGGGAAACUUGGUCUAAUAUCCCAUAGCAUUUAGAGGUGGCAUCACCAUUAAAUUAAAGCUUCGGUGGUAUAGGAUUGGCUCGCGUGACAUUAGCUAGAUGGUGGGGUAACGGCUCACCAUGGCUAUGAUGUCUAGGGGUUCUGAGAGGAAGACCCCCCACACUGGGACUGAGACACGGCCCAGACUCCUACGGGAGGCAGCAGUGAGGAAUAUUGGACAAUGGAUGGAAAUCUGAUCCAGCCAUGCCGCGUGCAGGAAGACGGCCCUAUGGGUUGUAAAGUGCUUUUUGAAGGGAUGAGGAAGGACAGUACCUUCAGAAUAAGCCUCGGCUAACUACGUG